CAGCAAAAGGAGCAACAGAAUCUCAAUCAAUUAUCAGUCUUCUUCUUCUCUUCUAUUCUCUUCUAAUAGGCGGUCCCAUUUCUCCUUUGUCUCUGUUUUAUUCACACCAAUUUUAGGGACAGUGCUGCUGCCAAUCAAACGCCUGUCCCGAUACGCCCUUUUCCCCCUUUCCCCUUUUCCACUGUCGUCUAGUUCCCUCAGAAUAAACACAGAUAUUAUUUCUGAAUCUUCUGCACAGAUGCAGAUAUUGCUGAGAUCAAUAUUGUCUGCUUUGAUUGACAACUAAAUAAGAUACAGAAGGAUGUGGCCAAUUCAUCAGUUCAUGAACAAACUAUUGAAGGCGGUUGAAGACAAUAAUGAUGAGUAUGCUGAAAAUCACUUUAAUUUUGUCGAUUCUUAUACCAUCCAGCAGCCACUAAACAACCAAAGCAGAACUUCAGUCUCAUCCUACUUUAUUGAUGUACCUCACAUAAAUCAGGAAAGCACAUGGGAUUGUGGUCUUGCUUGCGUUCUUAUGGUUUUGCAAGCUGUUGGUGUAUAUAACUGUACUAUUCAAGACCUAGUAGAGCUAUGUUGUACCACAAGUAUUUGGACUGUAGAUUUGGCAUAUUUGCUGCAGAAGUUUUCUUUAAGCUUUACAUAUUGCACAGUUACAUUAGGAGCUAAUCCAGACUUUUCUGUCGAGACAUAUUACAAGGACCAACUGCCAAAUGACCUUAGACGAGUAAAUAUGCUCUUCCAGGAAGCUCGUGAAUCUGGAAUCAGUAUAGAGUGCAGAUCAGUUAGUGCGAAAGAAAUUUCUGAAUUUAUGUUGUCUGGAAAGUAUGUCGCUAUUGCUUUAGUCGAUCAGCACAAAUUAAGCAGUCAGUCUCAGCUUGAGGAUACUUGUGUCUCAGAAUACUAUAGUGGAGGCCCUAGUUACACCGGUCACUAUGUUGUUAUUUGUGGCUAUGAUGCUGCUACAGAUGAGUUUGAGAUUCGAGAUCCUGCCAGCUCAAGGAAGCAUGAAAGGAUUCCUUCAUGGUGCCUUGAACAGGCUCACAAAUCCUUUGGUACUGAUGAGGAUUUUCUGCUGAUUUCUGUCGAGAAGGGAGGAGCUCAAGGCAACCCUUUAGGAAUCUUUUCCUUGUGACAUUGUAAUUGGUCGAGAUCGGGGUUUCAAGGCGUGUGCUAGACCGUUGUCUGAAGAAAAUGCUGUUUGUUUCAACCACUCUUUGGUUGAUAACAUGUUUACUUAAUCUCCUGCGCAUUUUAGGCAUUUCCUUUAUCUGUACAGGGACUCCGCAAUGCGGAUUUCUUGUUCCGUCCCGGUGGGAUGAGACAGGCCGGGAUGCGUUGCAAGCGUCCCAUCUACCCGCGUGAUGCUUGGCUAAGGGAUGGAGGGGGGUUGCCUCCACGUGCCCGCCCAUCUUGGCGCAACCACAAAGUGGCAUAGAGUUCACUCGUAGACUGGGAAAGUAAUCAAAAUCCCGGAACAGGGAAAGUUAGUAUAACUUUUCAGGAUUCUGAAUCCUAGCUUUUCUUAGGUA